rnacentral:tRNA from 1 species
GCCUGGGUGGCUCAGUCGGGUGAGCAUCUGACUUUGGUUCAGGUCAUGAUACCACGGUUUGUGGGUUCAAACCCCGCGUUUGGGCU